rnacentral:rRNA from 4 species
UGGUGGGUAGUUUGACUGGGGCGGUCUCCUCCUAAAGAGUAACGGAGGAGCACGAAGGUUGGCUAAUCCUGGUCGGACAUCAGGAGGUUAGUGCAAUGGCAUAAGCCAGCUUGACUGCGAGCGUGACGGCGCGAGCAGGUGCGAAAGCAGGUCAUAGUGAUCCGGUGGUUCUGAAUGGAAGGGCCAUCGCUCAACGGAUAAAAGGUACUCCGGGGAUAACAGGCUGAUACCGCCCAAGAGUUCAUAUCGACGGCGGUGUUUGGCACCUCGAUGUCGGCUCAUCACAUCCUGGGGCUGAAGUAGGUCCCAAGGGUAUGGCUGUUCGCCAUUUAAAGUGGUACGCGAGCUGGGUUUAGAACGUCGUGAGACAGUUCGGUCCCUAUCUGCCGUGGGCGCUGGAGAACUGAGGGGGGCUGCUCCUAGUACGAGAGGACCGGAGUGGACGCAUCACUGGUGUUCGGGUUGUCAUGCCAAUGGCACUGCCCGGUAGCUAAAUGCGGA